rnacentral:rRNA from 1 species
GGUGAUCCAUGGGUUGAAGGAGAAGGCAGCGGAGGCGAUUAAUGGGAGUGUGAACGAGAUAAUGGCGACGGCGGGUGCUGCAGAGAAGGGGUUGAAGUUGGAUUGGCCGGUGGUGGCGGCAGGGUCAACCGGUGCUAUUGCUUUGGCGGCUGCUGUAGCAUACAUGAUUUACGUGAAGCGUAGGUAAUUCAAUUGAGAGGUUCGGGUUUAUGGAUUAAGAGUGUGUUUCAAUUUUGUGAGGCGCUGUUUGUGUUUUGCUUGGCUGUCUUUUAGCCCGAUAAAAUCCUUUGUUACCUCUGACUUUGAAGUCUUUGUUGCACUUGUUUGGUUGGGAAACAAGGUUACCCAUCUACUUAAGAAAUGCAUUACAAAUAACAUGGACUAGAACAGUUAUUACACAUGAUUGUAUUUAUUGUUGUUGGUGCAGUUGGCUGCCCACUAGGGGUGUUCGCUCUUCAAUUUGGUUUACUAACUCACAUGCGACGUGAGUUUUUAUGCGACUUAUUUUGAGGUUGCAGUGUUUACACUUAUUUUAAGACUCUGUUUGGGUGUUUGUCGUCGUCAGUGGUACAAUUUUCACUCUGCCAACAUGCCUGAUUAUCAAAUUCUAUGUCUCUGCGUCAUUGUCUCUGUUUCUGGCCAUUUGUUUUGCCUUUCACGAGGCCUUCUGGCCAUUCAUGAAUCUUAUACUGUACGCCUGUUUCAGUGCGCUGCCGUUUGGAGAAAUAUUUAAAUUCUGGAAAAACUCAAUCUUCUUCACGAAGGACUACAUUAGGGAUCGAAUUCGAUUGCUUGAUUGUGAAAACCCGUCUGCCAACUGUGUCGUGGCUUGGGUUUUCGCUUGCAUACUCUUGAUUCUCUGUUUCAAUAGCGUGUUGAACUCAUGAUUUCAUAAUGCUUUUGUUUCUGGAUUGUGCAUGACGGGUGGGAUGCUGUAAAGUUUCGUCUUCCAGGAGAAGGCAACGUCAUUUUCUGGUUUGUACGUUAAGUUUCAUCCCCCAUUCCUGCAGUUCCUUAUCAUGCAUUUGACAUCUUGUUUGCACGUUAGCUAGCGACCUGUCAACUCUUUUCAAAAUCCUAACAGGUGGUUCUGUAGUAUACUUGUGUGCAAUGCUUACAGGGUUUAUCUCUUUUAAAAUGUAAGAUGCGACCAUGGCGUCAACCUUGAUUAUUACUUAUUUUUUCGGGGGAGCUAUUCGAAUCUUUUGAAGGAUGCAUGAUAUUAUUCCUUGCUGUUUUGUCUUUUGUGGAGUAAAUCAUAAUCGCACCUGUUCAAGUUAUUUUCUCAUUCUCAAAUGAACGAUCUUUAGGUUACGUAUGGAAUGAUUUUUUUGUCCAGAUUGGCAAUUGAUAUAAAGAUGGGUGGUGUGAAACAAAACAUAACAAGGUUCGUUGGCUUGCUACCAUCGUUCAUCACACGCAUCAUAGAUUGCAUGGUAGUUUGACUUUUUCCUAGUGUUUCUUCUUUUUGCUUUAUUUCCACUCACAUUUGGGUUUUCAACUAAUUUUUCCAUUCUCUCAUUUUAUUUUAUUUGUAAAGUGAGAAAAUUGAUGCUUGAAUUUUAGAAAUUUAUCAAUACGAGGCUUUUCUUCUACCUAUUCCUUAAAAAUUAAUGAAAAUUUUGUUGCAUGCAUAAAAGGCUAUCAACAAACUGUUGUCAUAUGCGCGUGUUAUUAUUGCCUAACAAAUACCUUAAACAUUACACACAAAAAAAGAAAUACAAAAAAGUGUUAGAAAGCUUACUUACCUCUUCAACAUUUGAGAAGACAUUUGGUUUAGGGUGAGGUAAUUCGACCACGCUUAAUAGGAAAAAUGACUCAACCGUGAUGAGACUAAACUUUUAGUCUGGGGUAAACCCUAAACCUGAAUAAACCCCACAAACAAGAUUUUCCUUCUCCUGAAAAACCUCUUGGUUUUUCAAAAAUUUUCAAAACUUGUAAGGUAGCGAAAUUCCUUGUCGGGUAAGUUCCAACCCGCACGAAAGGCGUAACGAUCUGGGCACUGUCUCAGAGAGAGACUCGGUGAAAUAGACAUGUCUGUGAAGAUGCGGACUACCUGCACCUGGACAGAAAGACCCUAUGAAGCUUCACUGUUCCCUGGGAUUGACUUUGGGCCUUUCCUGCGCAGCUUAGGUGGAGGGCGAAGAGGGCCCCUUUCCGGGGGGGGGGGGCCUGAGCCGUCAAUGAGAUACCACUCUGGAAGAGCUAGAAUUCUAACCUUGUGUCAAGACCUACGGGCCAAGGGACAGUCUCAGGUAGACAAUUUCUAUGGGGCGUAGGCCUCCCAAAAGGUAACGGAGGCGUGCAAAGGUUUCCUCGGGCCAGACGGAGAUUGGCCCUUGAGUGCAAAGGCAGAAGGGAGCUUGACUGCAAAACCCACCCGUCGAGCAGGGACGAAAGUCGGCCUUAGUGAUCCAACGGUGCCGAGUGGAAGGGUCGUCGCUCAACGGAUAAAAGUUACUCUAGGGAUAACAGGCUGAUCUUCCCCAAGAGCUCACAUUGACAGGAAGGUUUGGCACCUCGAUGUCGGCUUUUCGCCACUUGGGGUUGUAGUAUGUUCCAAGGGUUGGGCUGUUCGCCCAUUAAAGCGGUACGUGAGCUGGGUUCAGAACGUCGUGAGACAAUUCGGUCCAUAUCUGGUGUAGGCGUUAGAGCAUUGAGAGGACCGAGAAGGACGCACCUCUAGUGUACCAGUUAUCGUGCCCAUGGUAAACGUUGGGUAGCCAAGUGCAGAGCGGAUAACUGCUGAAAGCAUCUAAGUAGUAAGCCCACCCCAAGAUGAGUGCUCUCCUAUUCCGACUUCCCCAGAGCCUCUGGUAGCACAGCCGAGACAGCGAUGGGUUCUCUGCCCCUGCGGGGAUGGAGCGACAGAAGUUUUGAGAAUUCAAGAGAAGGUCACAGCGAGACGAGCCGUUUAUCAUUACGAUAGGUGUCAAGUGGAAGUACAUCAGUUUUUCCGUUCAUCAGUUCAUGAUUGUUUUGGCCACCUU